UACGGAGGUGGCAAGCGUUGCUCGGAAUCACUGGGCGUAAAGGGCGCGUAGGCGGCGCGGUAAGUCGGGUGUGAAAUCUCGGGGCUUAACUCCGAAACUGCAUUCGAUACUGCCGUGCUUGAGGACUGGAGAGGAGACUGGAAUUUACGGUGUAGCGGUGAAAUGCGUAGAUAUCGUAAGGAAGACCAGUGGCGAAGGCGGGUCUCUGGACAGUUCCUGACACUGAGGCACGAAGGCCAGGGGAGCAAACAGG
rnacentral:rRNA from 1 species